rnacentral:lncRNA from 1 species
GUAUUGAAAACCUCCCGUUUGAAUUGCAGAGAAACUUUCAGCUCAUGAGGGACCUAGACCAAAGGACAGAGGACCUGAAGGCUGAAAUUGACAAGUUGGCCACUGAAUAUAUGAGUAGCGCCCGCAGCCUGAGCUCCGAGGAAAAACUGGCCCUUCUCAGACAGAUCCAGGAGGCCUAUGGCAAAUGCAAGGAAUUUGGUGACGACAAGGUGCAGCUGGCCAUGCAGACCUAUGAGAUGGUGGACAAACACAUUCGGCGGCUGGACACAGACCUGGCCCGUUUUGAGGCUGAUCUGAAGGAAAAACAGAUCGAGUCAAGUGACUAUGACAGCUCUUCCAGCAAAGGCAAAAGGAGCCGGACCCAAAAGGAGAAAAAAGCUGCCCGUGCCCGUUCCAAAGGGAAAAACUCAGAUGAAGAAGCCCCCAAGGCUGCCCAGAAAAAGUUAAAACUUGUGCGCACAAGUCCUGAGUAUGGGAUGCCCUCAGUGACCUUUGGCAGUGUCCACCCCUCUGAUGUGUUGGAUAUGCCUGUGGAUCCCAACGAACCCACAUAUUGCCUUUGUCACCAGGUCUCCUAUGGAGAGA